rnacentral:rRNA from 1 species
GACGUAGGGCGCGAGCGUUGUCCGGAUUUAUUGGGCGUAAAGAGCUCGUAGGCGGCUUGUCGCGUCGACUGUGAAAACCCGCGGCUCAACUGCGGGCCUGCAGUCGAUACGGGCAGGCUAGAGUUCGGUAGGGGAGACUGGAAUUCCUGGUGUAGCGGUGAAAUGCGCAGAUAUCAGGAGGAACACCGGUGGCGAAGGCGAGUCUCUGGACAUUUCCUGACGCUGAGGCACGAAAGCCAGGGGAGCAAACGGG